rnacentral:rRNA from 1 species
CCUACGGGAGGCAGCAGUGAGGAAUAUUGGUCAAUGGGCGGAAGCCUGAACCAGCCAAGUAGCGUGCAGGAUGACGGCCCUCCGGGUUGUCAACUGCUUUUAUACGGGAAUAACGCGCCUUACGUGUAGGGCUUUGCAUGUAUCGUUUGAAUCAAGCCCGGCCAAUUCCGUGCCAGCAGCCGCGGUAAUACGGAAGGGCCGGGCGUUAUCCGGAUUUAUUGGGUUUAACGGGAGCGUAGUCCGCAUGGCAAGCGAGCUGUGAAAAGUUCGGGCUCAACCCGGGCCUUGAAGCGCGAACUGGGGGGCUUGAGUGCGCGGAAGGCAGGCGGAAUUCGUCGUGUAGCGGUGAAAUGCGUAGAUAUGACGAAGAACCCCGAUGGCGAAGGCAGCUUGCUGCAGCGGAACUGACGCUGAUGCUCGAAAGCGCGGGUAUCGAACAGGAUUAGAUACCCCGGUAGUC